GAUGAACGCUAGCUACAGGCUUAACACAUGCAAGUCGCGGGGCAGCAUGGGGGUUGCUUGCAACCCCUGAUGGCGACCGGCGCACGGGUGAGUAACGCGUAUCCAACUUGCCCUUCACCACGGGUAAACCCGGCGAAGGUCGGACAAAACCCGUAUGUGUUCCUUUGAGGGCUCCCGAUUUGGACGAAGGGCUGGGCGGGGAAAGGUGGGGGAUGCGUCCGAUUAGCUUGACGGCGGGGUAACGGCCCACCGUGGCUACGAUCGGUAGGGGUUCUGAGAGGAAGGUCCCCCACACUGGAACUGAGACACGGUCCAGACUCCUACGGGAGGCAGCAGUGAGGAAUAUUGGUCAAUGGGCGUAAGCCUGAACCAGCCAAGUAGCGUGCAGGAUGACGGCCCUAUGGGUUGUAAACUGCUUUUAUGCGGGGAUAAAGUGGCCCACGUGUGGGCUUUUGCAGGUACCGCAUGAAUAAGGACCGGCUAAUUCCGUG
rnacentral:rRNA from 1 species